rnacentral:tRNA from 1 species
GCUUUCAUGGUGUAGUGGUCAGCAUGCUCGACGCGUAACCGAGAGGUCCGUGGUUCGACUCCCGGCGAGGGCA